rnacentral:ncRNA from 2 species
UGCAAACCGUUGGGGUGCCCGUCCGGGGCUGAGAGGCGCAAAGCCAACCCAUCGAACCUGAUCCGGGUCAUACCGGCGGAGGGAACGGUGCCAUCAUUGGG